CUCGCUUUGACUACCUACUUUGUUGAAAGCUUUACAAACCUGAGCAGAUAACACUGAGGAGAGCUUGAGGAAGCUGGGUUAUUUGGCUGGAGUGGGCCUGUGGUUUGUCUGUCUAGGGCUUCCACGUGGCUGUGCAGAGACCCCUGGAGAUCAAGUGUCACUGGGAUAGAGACUCAGUAACGUCUGAGGGGGACUGUCCAGGAGAACAGGCUCCAGGACCUGCCGUACUUCAGCCUUACACCCUUACAAACAAGGGACGUCUUCUCUGAAACUGAUGAUCAGGAGUCUGUGCUCUCCCAGUGGGAGGAGGGGAUGAGAGGAUGUGAGUAGAAGGCAGGACUCCUGCCGUACCCAGCAUUUGGGACC
rnacentral:lncRNA from 1 species